GGCCAGACUCCUACGGGAGGCAGCAGUAGGGAAUUUUCGUCAAUGGGCGCAAGCCUGAACGAGCAAUGCCGCGUGAACGAGGAAGGUCUUCGGAUCGUAAAGUUCUGUUGACGGGGAAAAAAGACCGGGAAAGGAAAUGAUCCCGGAGGAGAUAUUACCCGUCGAGGAAGUCACGGCUAACUACGUGCCAGCAGCCGCGGUAAUACGGAGGGUGCGAGCGUUAAUCGGAAUUACUGGGCGUAAAGCGCUCGUAGGCGGUAUGUCAAGUCAAGGGUGAAAUCCCCGCGCUCAACGUGGGAACUGCCUUUGAAACUGGCAAACUGGAGUGUGUGAGAGGAUAGUGGAAUUCCAGGUGUAGGAGUGAAAUCCGUAGAUAUCUGGAGGAACAUCAGUGGCGAAGGCGACUAUCUGGCACAUAACUGACGCUGAGGAGCGAAAGCGUGGGUAGCAAACAGGAUUAGAUACCCCAGUAGA
rnacentral:rRNA from 1 species